AUCGCUUCGCGGCAUUUGGCUUAAGAUCAAGGUAGUAUCUGUUUUAUCAGUUUGAUAUUGAUAAGUCCCCUCCCGGGGACGACUACAUAUUAACUUGAUUUUUGGAUCACGGAGCUGGAGCCGGGCUUGCUCUGUUCACUCCACGCAGCGGCCACCUGGUUUACGUGCAGUGUUGCCAGGACC